AAGCAUCCUAGGGAUGGGUAGGUUGGAGGUUGCCUUUACUCCCGUGGGUCCCAUCUCGCUUCUCAUUCUGUGCAGGAGGAUCCUUUGUGAGGUUGGCUGUAGAGGUGGGGGUCUGGCCCAUCAGCCUACCCUCCUGCUUACCCAGAGAAGCUAACAUUUAAUGGUACUCAUGAUGCGGGAGGCUCUGAGUGUUCAUGUUAUAUAUCCUCUCAACUGUCAAGUCCUCACUGCAGUUCUGUGGGGCUGAUGCUGUUCUUAUCCUGGCUUACAGAAGAGGAAACCGAGUACAGAACGGCCAUUAGCGUCACACCGGGAAACUGAGGCAUGGAAACGUGAGUGAGUUGUCGGUUCAGGUCCCAUAACUGUGCUCUGCCUCCCCAGUCACGGCAAGUUUCUUGGAGCUUUGAUGAGGAUAGACGGCAGGUGAUCCACGGAUGCCGAAGGGAGCUUUGCCACAGGCUGGGAUGCUUGGGUAGGUCCUCCCAGCUUGGGUAGGUCCUCCCAGCUUGGGUAGGUCCUCCCAGCUUCUGCAUAGAGGGAGUACUCCGUCCUCCCCAGCUCGGCUUCUGCAAAAACCCAAGCAGGGUGACUCCAGGCCAAGGGAGCAGGGACUGUGCUGUGCGAGGUCCAGGUCUACCUCGGCUCAGGCUCCCGCUCAAAGCUGAAUAACCGGGAGUCCUUCAAGAAGGAUUUCUGAGAAGCCAUCAGGAGUGAGUCAUUGACUUAGGGAGGCGAUGAAUCAACCGGGAGUUCAUAAAACGGCAAAUGAAUCGGGUGUGAGAGAGCAACGGAGCCACCGCUAUUCCCCAGAACCCUCCAGGGACAGAGAGCCGAGAGAAAAGAAAUAAAAAUAACACGGGGCCUUAUGCCUGCUACAAACCCGAGGAGUCCUUACAAGAAAGAACACUGAUUUUGACGAACACCCAAAAUAAUGUGAGAUCAGGCUCAUGCGUUAUGCAUGAGGUCUGAUUUAACAUGAACAUUAUUUCUUGUGUACGAGACCAUAUGCCUCCGUGCUGUCUCUGCAGCCUAAUAAAACCCAGACCCACCCUGGUCAGGCUCAGCAGGGA
rnacentral:lncRNA from 1 species